UGCGUAGGCGGUGAGGUAAGUCUGGCGUGAAAUCUCCAAGCUCAACUUGGAAACUGCGCUGGAUACUAUCUUGCUCGAGGAAUGGAGGGGAGACUGGAAUACUUGGUGUAGCAGUGAAAUGCGUAGAUAUCAAGUGGAACACCAGUGGCGAAGGCGAGUCUCUGGACAUUUCCUGACGCUGAGGCACGAAAGCCAGGGGAGCAAACGGGAUUAGAUACCCCGGUAGUCCUGGCCCUAAACGGUGCGCGUUUGCUGUGAGCGGAAUCGACCCCGCUCGUGGCGGAGUUAACACGUUAAACGCGCCGCCUGGGAAGUACGGCCGCAAGGUUAA
rnacentral:rRNA from 1 species